AACUCCUGCUUUUGUUAAAUUCUUCCCAGGGGAAACCUGCCUUUUUUUUCCGUGACUCUAUUCUUAUUUUUUUCGUUACGGAUUUUAAUAGGCUUCUGGCUUUGCUAUAGAUAACAGUAGACAGGAGCACGCCGUGGGCCUGUGAGCUGAAUUCAGUGACGACAUUUGUGUGUCAGCCAUGGUACUGGGGAAACGUUCUCAUUCUGGAGAGCAGGGAACAGGGAUGUUCAACACAGGAAGGCUGCUAUUCUGUUGGAACUCAUCCUUCCUUGUCCUUUUUUCAAACACGGCCUCUUCUGAGCAGUCAAUGGGACAGGGACAGGCAGUGCAUGCGGUCAGGGGGCAGCAGCACCAGCGGCCACGUCCCACCACCCAGCCAUGACCACAGCUGCCAACUACCACCAGAUGAGAUGAUAAAAAAAUCAUCACAGUUGUGCCCAGGAUGUUGCCAGCCUUCUGUUCUUGAGCAUCUCUGCACAUCAGCUGCCACACAAGGAGUAACCAGCCCUCAUUCUCCAAUGGCCACAGAGCAGAAACAGUGUGACAGCACUGCAACCAGUGGAAAAGGCUGGGAUUUCAAGUAUUUUUGUUUGACUUGGCUGCAGAAAUCAAAUUUAAGAAAAAUGGAAAGAACAUUUUAUUUCAUCUUCAUUCUAUAUCAUUUGAUUUUGAUAAGACUGAAAUAGUUUCAUUUUGAAGAGUUCAUAGUGUUACCUUUGGAUUGCCUUUUCCAAUGCAUUGACUUUCAGGUGGCACAUGCACUUACACCUUUGCUGAAGGCUUGGACUCCACCUGCUCUGUGUUUCCCAAUGAAAAACAAGUCUACUAGAACAUUUUGAACAAACUUUGCUAGACAGGAAAUGUAUGUUCAAGAUUAAACCAAUGAUAUAGGAAGAAUUUAUCUCUACUAGUAUCUAUCCAUGGCAGGAGUAUCUCAGUUUGCAUGAGGGAUUUUAACCUGACUGCUAGGACACUUAGAAUUAGAACAGUUCAGUUGGAAGGGACCUGCAAAGCUCACCUAGUCCAUCUGCCUGACUUCUCCAGGGUGAACCAAAAGUUAAAGCAUGUUAUUAAGGACAUUGUACAAAUGCCCCUUGAAUACUGACAGGCACAGGGCAUCAAGCACCUCACUAGAAAGCCUGUUCCAGUGUUUGAACACCCUCUUGGCAGAGAUAUUUUUCCUAAUAUCCACUCUGAUCUAGUUAGUAGAAAAACAAAUGACAAUAAAACAUGGAAAACAUAUAUCA
rnacentral:lncRNA from 1 species